AGAGUUUGAUCCUGGCUCAGAUUGAACGCUGGCGGCAUGCUUUACACAUGCAAGUCGAACGGCAGCACGGGGGCGAACCCUCGGUGGCGAGUGGCGAGCGGGUGAGUAAUGCAUCGGGACGGUAUCCUUGAGUGGGGGAGUAACGCAGCGAAAGUUAGCGCUAAUACGCAUAAGCUCUGAAGAGGAAAGACGGGGGACCGGAAAGGCCUCGCGCUGAAGGAGCGGCCGAUGUCCGAUCAGCUAGUUGGUGAGGUAAAGG
rnacentral:rRNA from 1 species